rnacentral:rRNA from 1 species
UCCGGCGGUCCUGGCGGAGGGGUUACACCCGUUCCCAUUCCGAACACGGCAGUUAAGCCCUCCCGCGCCGAUGAUACUGCAUGGGAAACCGUGUGGGAACGUAGGUCACCGCCGGGA